UGAUAAGAAGGGCAUUUAACCCUGUAAACGAGGCUACAACUCGCCGCCUAACCUCGGCCACCUUACC
rnacentral:tRNA from 1 species